GUAGGCAUAGUUUAACAAAAACCUUAGAUUGUGAUUCUAACAACAGAGGUUAAAAUCCUCUUGCUCACC
rnacentral:tRNA from 1 species